rnacentral:snoRNA from 1 species
CCCCUCUCAGGAUCACAUCUGAAGAGUUUCCAGUACUCUACCAGUCUUGACUACAGGAGGGAGAAUCAAGCAGAGGCAUAUCCAUUCCAUUCCUAGUUUGGGCAGUGGCUAGCCAGUGGAAGGCAAUCUGCUACAAGU